rnacentral:rRNA from 1 species
AUNCAGCCGGUCUCGCGAAUGCCUCUGGCUUUAGAGUUUGAUCAUGGCUCAGNNCUUGANACGCUGGCGGCAANGCCUAACACAUGCAAGUCGAACGGUAACAGGAAGCAGCUUGCUGCUUUGCUGACGAGUGGCGGACGGGUGAGUAAUGUCUGGGAAACUGCCUGAUGGAGGGGGAUAACUACUGGAAACGGUAGCUAAUACCGCAUAACGUCGCAAGACCAAAGAGGGGGACCUUCGGGCCUCUUGCCAUCGGAUGUGCCCAGAUGGGAUUAGCUAGUAGGUGGGGUAACGGCUCACCUAGGCGACGAUCCCUAGCUGGUCUGAGAGGAUGACCAGCCACACUGGAACUGAGACACGGUCCAGACUCCUACGGGAGGCAGCAGUGGGGAAUAUUGCACAAUGGGCGCAAGCCUGAUGCAGCCAUAGCCGCGUGUAUGAAGAAGGCCUUCGGGUUGUAAAGCACUUUCAGCGGGGAGGAAGGUGUGAGGUUAUACUC